UUCAGAAGAGGAAAGCCGCUUGGACACCAUGAUACCAAGUCGAUGAUUAGGUCAGGAAUCACGUUAGCCAGGGGUCUAGUGGCACACAGACUGAACGGGAGGCGGAAGAGACCAGCUUGGAUGGCUGAAAGCAGGUUUGACCCGCCCCUCAAUGGGAAGGACUCAACUACCUACUAAACGGACAGAACGUGGUCAGAUGACCCCUGUAGCCACAGGAAAUGCACAAGCCACGGGGAACGUCUUGGCUCCCCAUCCUCGCUGGGAGUCGAGACGCCCAUGUCCCCCUGAGAGGCUGGGAAGACAGUGAAGUCCUUCAGAAUGACUUCCGCCAUUAAGAAAGGAUGCUGCUUCGAGGGCCCGCCUCUGCGAACACCAGCAGACCCGGAGCCCUGAGGAGCGACUCAGGGGGCAAUUACAUCAGCACAGGACGCCUUUGUUUUGAGCUGAGGCUGGUUUUCCCACAAGCGACUGAAAUAAAUUAGAGCGUUUUCAACGAGGGCGGUUGAAAGCGGCACUCUUG